GAUGAACGCUGGCGGCGUGCCUAACACAUGCAAGUCGAACGGAGUCGUUUUGGAAAUCUCUUCGGAGAUGGAAUUCUCGACUUAGUGGCGGACGGGUGAGUAACGCGUGAGCAAUCUGCCUUUAAGAGGGGGAUAACAGUCGGAAACGGCUGCUAAUACCGCAUAAAGCAUUAAAUUCGCAUGUUUUUGAUGCCAAAGGAGCAAUCCGCUUUUAGAUGAGCUCGCGUCUGAUUAGCUAGUUGGCGGGGUAACGGCCCACCAAGGCGACGAUCAGUAGCCGGACUGAGGGGUUGAACGGCCACAUUGGGACUGAGACACGGCCCAGACUCCUACGGGAGGGAGCAGUGGGGAAUAUUGCGCAAUGGGGGAAACCCUGACGCAGCAACGCCGCGUGAUUGAAGAAGGCCUUCGGGUUGUAAAGAUCUUUAAUCAGGGACGAAGAAAAUGACGGUACCUGAAGAAUAAGCUCCGGCUAACUACGUG
rnacentral:rRNA from 1 species